rnacentral:rRNA from 1 species
AGAGUUUGAUCCUGGCUCAGAACGAACGUUGGCGGCGUGGAUUAGGCAUGCAAGUCGAACGAAUCCCUUGGGGGUAACUCUGAGGGGGAAGUGGCGAAAGGGGCAGUAAGGCAUGGGUAACUUGCCCCGGGGCCCGGAAUAGCUAUCCUAACGGAUAGGUAAUACCGGAUGUCCUGAUGAGACGGCAUCGUUUUGUCAGGAAAGAUUUAUCACCCCGGGAGAGGCUCAUGUAGUAUUAGCUAGUUGGUGAGGUAACGGCUCACCAAGGCCAAGAUGCUUAGCAGGUGUGAGAGCACGACCUGCGCCACUGGCACUGAGACACUGGCCAGACUCCUACGGGAGGCUGCAGUCGAGGAUCUUCGGCAAUGGGCGCAAGCCUGACCGAGCGACGCCGCGUGUGCGAUGAAGGCCUUCGGGUUGUAAA